AUUGAACGCUGGCGGUAGGCCUAACACAUGCAAGUCGAACGGCAGCACAGUAAUAGCUUGCUCUUACGGGUGGCGAGUGGCGGACGGGUGCGGAAUACAUCGGAAUCUACUUUUUCGUGGGUGAUAACGUAGGGAAACUUACGCUAAUACCGCAUACGACCUACGGGUGAAAGCAUGGGAUCUUCGGACCUUGCGCGAUUGUAUGAGCCGAUGUCGGAUUAGCUAGUUGGCGGGGUAAAGGCCCACCAAGGCGACGAUCCGUAGCUGGUCUGAGAGGAUGAUCAGCCACACUGGAACUGAGACACGGUCCAGACUCCUACGGGAGGCAGCAGUGGGGAAUAUUGGACAAUGGGCGCAAGCCUGAUCCAGCCAUACCGCGUGGGUGAAGAAGGCCUUCGGGUUGUAAAGCCCUUUUGUUGGGAAAGAAAAGCAGCAGGUUAAUACCCCGCUGUUCUGACGGUACCAAAAGAAUAAGCACCGGCUAACUUCGUG
rnacentral:rRNA from 1 species